UUGGAGGGCAAGUCUGGUGCCAGCAGCCGCGGUAAUUCCAGCUCCAAUAGCGUAUAUUAAAGUUGUUGCAGUUAAAAAGCUCGUAGUUGAACCUUGGGUCUGGCUGGCCGGUCCGCCUCACCGCGAGCACUGGUCCGGCCGGACCUUUCCUUCUGGGGAAUCCUAUGGCCUUCACUGGCUGUAGGGGGAACCAGGACUUUUACUGUGAAAAAAUUAGAGUGUUCAAAGCAGGCCUUUGCUCGGAUACAUUAGCAUGGAAUAAUAGAAUAGGA
rnacentral:rRNA from 1 species